rnacentral:lncRNA from 1 species
GGAUAUGUGCUGCUUUAGAACUUAAAAUCAGGGUGCUGAGCUGUGCCUGUGGGAAUGCACACUGAGUGGUGAGCUCUGCUGGGUCUGAUGGUACCACAAAACAGACACAUCAAGGACACAAAGUCCUUUCUCUGCUGCCAAGCUGCUGUGUCAGGCUGAAAGCCUCAGCACCUCAGGUAUUAACCAGCCUAGGGGCUGGGGGGGAUUUUUCUUCACUGUUGUGUUCACUUCAGAGAAAUCAACCAAACUGAAGAUGUGCUGACCUCUUGAGACUGAACUAGAAGAUCCCUUGACACAAAAUCCUGUAAGUGUAUUUAUCCAGGGAGUCCAGUUCAAAGGGCCAGACAGGAUUCCCAGAGCUGAAAGCACGAGCCAUGUCAGCUGCAAUCUAAAUUAAGUGACAAUGCUGACUGUGACAGAGAAGGAGACCAGACAGCAGCUCUGUGUUAGCUGUGGCACUGGGACUCAGCAGUUCCUUCUGAGACCAAUCACACACAGCUUCCUUGGGAAAGAGGAGUGAGUUUGCUGGAACAGCUGGUGGAGAUGACAGGUUAUUCAGAUAUCUUUUUUGAGUGCCAACAAAACAAAGGCAUACUAUCUUUAAUGCUUGUGUUAUAAACAACUUGCCUCCAUUUCCAAAUACCCUCCACCUUUCCUUCGCCCAUAUGAACACUUUAAACAGAGAGCUACUUUGUAAAUCUCUCAAAAACUUCUGAUUGCACUUUUCUUAUCUGUUCAAUUCAUAGCCAAGUCACAGUAGAAUAUCUGUGUACCUUUGUUACACAUACACCAGACUUAUGUUUGAUUUAUGCUGCCACUGUUUCCAAACCCAUUCCUUAGUAGCCUUUCCAUCCUGACUAGGAGAUGAGUAACUUUCUUAGAAGGAUUAUUUUUAUCCUUUCUGGUUUUCAGUUCCUUUCCAUUUUUCUUGGCCAUCUACUUGACUGCACAGCCUACUGCUCAGUUCCCUCUGCUUUCCAGAGCUCAGAUGCAAGUCCUGCCUUGUCUGCAUAACAAGAGUUGUCUCCUACCCCAGUGUUUCUUUCAACUGAUCCUGUUAUCAGCCCAUAGCCUGGUAUUUUUCAGUUUCAGGUGGAAUAUUCAGGUGCCAUUCUGUAUUUCAGUGCAGCUGCUUUCAUUAGUGUUUAGAACAAUCCUGGAAUGCUCCUGGCAGUCGAGUUCCCUGUUCCACUGGUGCAGCUGCUCAGUUACAUGCCUGCUGCCCAUGGUGAGUGUGCUGUGAAAAUGCAUCAUGCCUCCUGCCACGUGGGAGAAGUGAUGUGUUUUAGUUUGCUGUUUUGCAGAAAACAUUGUUUGCCAUAUGUCUCAACAGAGCCUGCUUCUCUUUUUCAAGAAAUUGGCCAAGAAAUUUAAUUUGUGUUUUAGUCUUUUUUGCAUCCUGACUAGAGAUUGGCACGUGAAUUAUUUAAUUAAGCUGUGAAUAUUGCUGGGUAUUGCUAAGUUACACAAAUACUGUGUCAUUUAGCUAUUUAUGACUAACAAAACUAACAGUACAAAAAAAAACUAAUUAAAAGCUAAAUAAUCUUGGAGACUUUUGACCAGCUGUUAUAUAUCCAUACAACACCAUUCUGUUGAAUAAGGGAGCUAUUGUUGAGGCUUUUGACACAGAAAAGAAAAAAGAUGGGAAAAAAUUGUGAUAUUUUUCUUUUGGUUUUCCUCAUGUCCAAAAGAAAGCUGCAGCCUGUGGCAUUUCAGCUGGGCCUGGGGUGAGGGAACCACUGGCAGCUGCUCACACAGAAAUGUGCUGAACAGGAACCACACCAUAAACAAAAACACACUGGGCCUUCCAUGGGCAAAGCACCAGAGCAGAAUAUUAACCCCAGAACCUGCCUAGGUAGAAAUUCCUUUUGCUUGGGCAUAGCAGAUAACAAGGUUUUGUGCCUCUCUUUUUGGCAUGUGUGGUGCCACAGACUCCCCAGGAACCUUCCUUCAUUCUGCUGCUUAAUGAGCUGAUCUCUGGAGGGGCAGCUAUUUACUGAUUCACUGCUGGCUCACACCUUCAGCACAUGGUUUCUCUCACAGUGGUCCAGGAAACUCACUGCACCUCAAACCACAAGCACUGGCAAGAAUGCUCAUGCAGCCAUUGUGGGAUUUCCUCACUGUGCUGCAGAAAUUAUUUAAAAAUGGAAUAAUCCCUUCAAAUGGCUUCAGCAGUAAUGAGGGACUCAGGUACCUUAGAACAAACACAGUGUUGGAAACAAUACUGUUUUAAACAUCAGUAC